UGGAUCCCGAGGAAGACCUGGCCUUGGUACUCCUGGUGAAUGAAAGAGAGUUUCCUCGUCCCUCCUGUUUGAAGCUGCCGAUGGGAUGCUGAGUGCCUCCCACGGAGCUCGCUCUCUCCUCAGAUGGGCCUCUGCUGGAAGAGCUGGUGACUCUUAGGAGGAAGGUGACCAAGAAACUCAAGACGGUGUUAAGGUCGUAUGAACUAAAAGCCUGUGAUCGGAAAAUUUGCCACAUGCUGAAAGAAGAGGUCUUGGACUGUGUUCAUUGCCUGAAGACCAGUCCCACAUGCAUUAAAAAGAAUAACUGCUUCGUCGACAGGCAGCCCCGCACGGCCCUGCGGUACGACAGAGCGAGUGGACACCCGCGGACACAGGCCCGGCUCGGCAUCAUCGUUUCCGUGUGUCUGGCCGUCUUUGUCUUUGGGGUCAUCGUGGCUUCGUGAGUCAUCCCUGCCCGCACCCGAAGCCCCCAAAGGCCCCACUGAGCCCCUCAAAGUGGCAACGCCCUCGUGGGUCACGGUGUCCUUUGGGAAUCUCCCCGGUCACUUUCUCUCUCUGUCUAUUUGUUUCCCUCU